AGCAGCCGCGGUAAUUCCAGCUCCAAUAGCGUAUAUUAAAGUUGCUGGAGUUAAAAAGCUCGUAGUUGAAUUUCGGGAUCAAUAUGUUGGUCGUGCCUCGGUACGUACUAGCUUAUUGGUUUCUUCCUUCUGACGAACCAUAAUGUCAUUUAUUUGGUGUUAUGGGGAAUCAGGACUGUUACUUUGAAAAAAUUAGAGUGUUUAAAGCAGGCUCACGCUUGAAUACAUUAGCAUGGAAUAAUGAAAUAGGACGUUUGAUUCUAUUUUGUUGGUUUCUAGGAUCGACGUAAUGAUUAAUAGGGAUAGUUGGGGGCAUUAGUAUUCAAUUGUCAGAGGUGAAAUUCUUGGAUUUAUUGAAGACUAACUACUGCGAAAGCAUUUGCCAAGGAUGUUUUCAUUAAUCAAGAACGAAAGUUAGGGGAUCGAAGACGAUCAGAUACCGUCGUAGUCUUAACCAUAAACUAUGCCGACUAGGGAUCGGAUGAUGUUAAUUUUUUAAUGACUCAUUCGGCGCCUUACG
rnacentral:misc_RNA from 1 species